rnacentral:rRNA from 1 species
AGAGUUUGAUCCUGGCUCAGAAUGAACGCUGGCGGCGUGCCUAACACAUGCAAGUCGGAUGUGCCGCAAGGUGCAUGGCAGACGGGUGAGUAACGCGUGGGGAAUCUACCUUUUAGUGGGGAAUAACGCUCCGAAAGGAGUGGUAAUACCGCAUGAGACCUUUGGCUGGGAUGCUGGAGGUGAAACCUGGGGACCGCAAGGCCUGGGGCUAGAAGAGGAUCCUGCGUCUGAUUAGCUAGUUGGCGGGGUAAUGGCCCACCAAGGCGACGAUCAGUAGCCGGCCUGAGAGGGUGAUCGGCCACACUGGAACUGAGACACGGUCCAGACUCCUACGGGAGGCAGCAGUGGGGAAUUUUGCGCAAUGGACGAAAGUCUGACGCAGCAACGCCGCGUGGGUGAUGAAGGUCUUCGGAUUGUAAAACCCUGUCGUCGGGGACGAAGGUGGGGGGGUUAAUAGCCUCUUUGCUUGACGGUACCCGGAGAGGAAGCCCCGGCUAACUCUGUGCCAGCAGCCGCGGUAAUACAGAGGGGGCAAGCGUUAUUCGGAAUUAUUGGGCGUAAAGGGCGCGUAGGCGGUGAUUCAAGUUGGAUGUGUAAUCCCCGGGCUCAACCUGGGAACUGCAUCCAAGACUGGAUUGCUAGAGUGCUGGAGAGGGUGGUGGAAUUCCUCGUGUAGCGGUGAAAUGCGUAGAGAUGAGGAGGAACACCAGUGGCGAAGGCGGCCACCUGGACAGUAACUGACGCUGAGGCGCGAAAGUGUGGGGAGCAAACAGGAUUAGAUACCCUGGUAGUCCACGCUGUAAACGAUGAACACUUGGUGUGGGGGGAGUUGACCCCUUCCGUGCCGUAGCUAACGCGAUAAGUGUUCCGCCUGGGGAGUACGGUCGCAAGGCUGAAACUCAAAGGAAUUGACGGGGGCCCGCACAAGCGGUGGAGCAUGU